rnacentral:rRNA from 1 species
GACGAACGCUGGCGGCGUGCUUAACACAUGCAAGUCGAACGGUGACGGGGAGCUUGCUCCCCUGAUCAGUGGCGAACGGUGAGUAACACGUGGGCAAUCUGCCCCUGACUUCGGGAUAACGCUUCGAAAGAGGUGCUAAUACCGGAUAUGAACCUCGCAGGCAUCUGCGAGGUUGGAAAGUUUCUCGGUCAGGGAUGAGCCCGCGGCCUAUCAGCUAGUUGGUGAGGUAAUGGCUCACCAAGGCGACGACGGUAGCCGGCCUGAGAGGGCGACCGGCCACACUGGGACUGAGACACGGCCCAGACUCCUACGGGAGGCAGCAGUGGGGAAUAUUGCGCAAUGGGCGAAAGCCUGACGCAGCAACGCCGCGUGAGGGAUGACGGCCUU